rnacentral:rRNA from 1 species
UACGUAGGUGGCAAGCGUUGUCCGGAUUUAUUGGGUUUAAAGGGUGCGUAGGCGGCCCUGCAAGUCAGUGGUGAAAUACUCUAGCUUAACUAGAGGGGUGCCAAUGAUACUGCAGGGCUUGAGCACAGAUGAGGUAGGCGGAAUUGACGGUGUAGCGGUGAAAUGCAUAGAUAUCGUCAAGAACACCUAUAGCGAAGGCAGCUUACUGGGCUGUAACUGACGCUGAGGCACGAAAGUGUGGGGAUCAAACAGG